rnacentral:misc_RNA from 1 species
GAAAAAUCAAUGCAAAAUCAAAUUCGGAGUGGUCCAAAAUGUACGGUGAGUAACGGGCAUGUUUCUCAGAUGAGAAACAAAACAGUAGAAGCAAGAAGCAGAAGAAUUGUCCUACGUUUUCUGAAUAGCCAAGCAGAAUCCAUUCCCCAGUUCCAAAAUUCCAAAUUUGUUUCGACUUCCUGGGUUUUGGCUGCGUCUUAUUUGUAUGAGUGUACAGGUGGC